CCUACGGGCGGCAGCAGUGAGGAAUAUUGGUCAAUGGGCGGAAGCCUGAACCAGCCAAGUCGCGUGAGGGAUGAAGGCCCUGCGGGUCGUAAACCUCGUUUGCCGGGGAGCAGAGGUCCGGACGUGUCCGGGCCGGGAGGGUACCCGGAGAAAAAGCAGCGGCUAACUCCGUGCCAGCAGCCGCGGUAAUACGGAGGACCCGAGCGUUAUCCGUAUUGAUUGGGUUUAAAGGGAGCGUAGGUGGAUUGUUAAGUCAGUUGUGAAAGUUUGCGGCUCAACCGUAAAAUUGCAGUUGAGACUGGCAGUCUUGAGUACAGUAGAGGUAGGCGGAAUUCGUGGUGUAGCGGUGAAAUGCUUAGAUAUCACGAAGAACUCCGAUUGCGAAGGCAGCUCACUGGACUGCAACUGACACUGAUGCUCGAAAGUGUGGGGAUCAAACAGGAUUAGAUACCCGGGUAGUC
rnacentral:rRNA from 1 species